rnacentral:rRNA from 1 species
CCUACGGGUGGCUGCAGUGGGGAAUAUUGGGCAAUGGGCGCAAGCCUGACCCAGCAACGCCGCGUGAAGGAAGAAGGCUUUCGGGUUGUAAACCUCUUUUGACAUGGAAGAGUAGAAGACGGUACCUGUCGAAUAAGCCACGUCUAACUACGUGCCAGCAGCCGCGGUAAUACGUAGGUGGCAAGUGUUAUCCGGAUUUACUGGGUGUAAAGGGCGUGUAGGCGGAUUGACAAGUCAGUUGUGAAAUCCUGCGGCUUAACCGCAGAACUGCAUUUGAAACUGUUGGUCUUGAGUACUGGAGAGGCAGACGGAAUUCGUGGUGUAGCGGUGAAAUGCGUAGAUAUUAGGAGGAACACCAGUGGCGAAGGCGGUUUACUGGACAGCAACUGACGGUGAGGCGCGAAAGCGUGGGGAGCAAACAGGAUUAGAUACCCCAGUAGUC